CAACAACAACAACAACAACAACAACAAUGACGACGACGACAAUGAAAAACAAGAAAAACAACAACAACAACAACAACAAAAACAACAACAACAACAACAACAACAACAACAACAACAACGAUGACGACAAUAACGACGACAAUGAAGAUGACGACGACGAUGACGAUGACGAGAAUGACGACGACAACAACAACAACAAAAACAAAAACAAAAACAAAAACAAAAACAAAAACAACAACAACAACAACAACAACAACAACAACAACAACAACAACAUC
rnacentral:lncRNA from 1 species